AAAAAAUAGCAAGAUGACCGGAAUGAACCGAGAGCUUAGUGACCAACAUGAGCCUCCUUAACAAGCCCAAGAGUGAGAUGACCCCAGAGGAGCUGCAGAAGCGAGAGGAGGAGGAAUUUAACACGGGUCCACUCUCUGUGCUCACUCAGUCCGUCAAAAACAACACCCAAGUGCUUAUCAACUGCCGCAACAAUAAGAAACUCCUGGGCCGCGUGAAGGCCUUCGAUAGGCACUGCAACAUGGUGCUGGAGAACGUGAAGGAGAUGUGGACUGAGGUACCCAAGAGCGGCAAGGGCAAGAAGAAGUCUAAGCCAGUCAACAAAGACCGCUAUAUCUCCAAGAUGUUCCUGCGUGGGGACUCAGUCAUUGUGGUCCUGCAGAACCCGCUCAUCGUCGGCAAGGAGGAGCCACCUAUCCCUGUCAGUCAACAGAACUCACUCCCCUGUCCUACAGAGACCGCUGCCGCUGGUGUUGAGAACAAUAAAGCUCUGUGUUUUUUUAAAAAAAAAAAAAAAUAG